AGCCCAAACCGCGGGUUUUCGGAUCUGCGGGGUAAAGGACAGAGGUAAGGAGAAAGCUUUAUAUAGGAACACGGUUGGAAAGCCGGGCCGGAGAGGGUAAAAGCCCCGUAGUUUAAAUGAAGCUGAUCUGAUCUGUAUCCGGAGUAGUGCGGGACACGAGGAAUCCUGCAUGAAGUCGGGGGGACCACCCUCCAAGGCUAAAUACGACUUGGUGACCGAUAGCGAACAGUACCGUGAGGGAAAGGUGAAAAGAACCCCGGGAGGGGAGUGAAAGAGUACCUGAAACCCUAUGUUUACAAGCACAGGAAGAGCGUUAAGGGCUCGACCUGGUACUUUUUGUAGAACGGACCGGCGAGUUACGUUAUGCUGCGAGGUUAAGGUGUAGAGCACCGGAGCCGGAGCGAAAGCGAGUCUGAAGAGGGCGAGAGUAACAUGACGUAGACCCGAAACCGUGUGACCUAUCCAUGGACAGGUUGAAGUGGAAGUAAAAUUUCAUGGAGGACCGAACCACACUGCCGUUGAAAAGGUAGGGGAUGAGCUGUGGAUAGCGGGGAAAUUCCAAUCGAACACGGAUAUAGCUGGUUCUCCUCGAAAUAGCUUUAGGGCUAGCCUCGGGGUAAAGAGUUGCGGAGGUAGAGCACUGAAUGGGCUAGGGGGCCACAAAGCUUACUGAACCUUAUCAAACUUCGAAUGCCGCUAACUUAUACCCGGGAGUCAGACUGUGUGAGAUAAGUCUCACGGUCAAAAGGGAAACAGCCCAGAUCAUCAGCUAAGGUCCCAAAGUGCAGGUUAAGUGGAGAAGGAUGUGUCAGUGCACAGACAACCAGGAUGUUGGCUUAGAAGCAGCCACACAUUUAAAGAGUGCGUAAUAGCUCACUGGUCGAGUGCUGAUGCGCCGAAGAUUAACGGGGCUAAAACCUGCCACCGAAGCUAUGGAUUUGCCGCAAGGCAAGUGGUAGAGGAGCAAUGUGUACAGGCAGAAGCCGUACCGUCAGGAGCGGUGGACAGUACACAAGAGAGAAUGCCGGUAUGAGUAGCGAGAGUGAGGUGAGAAUCCUCACCGUCGAAAGCCAAAGGUUUCCUGAGGAAGGUUCGUCCUCUCAGGGUAAGUCGGGGACUAAGCCGAGGGCGGUAGAGCCGUAGGCGAUGACCAGCAGGUAGAGAUUCCUGCACCACCAGUGUAUCGUUUGAGGAAGCAGUGACACAGAAGGAUAGUCAGAGCGCGUUGAUGGUAGAGCGCGUCCAAGCAGUGAGGCUGAUACGCAGUAAAGUACACGUAUCGAAAGGCUGGGCUGUGACGGGGAGUUAAGUGAUAUGAAGCUGAUGAAUUCACGCUGGCGAGAAAAGCUGCUAACGAGAUAUACGGUGCCCGUACCGCAAACCGACACAGGUAGGCGAGGAGAGAAUCCUAAGACGAGCGAGAGAACCAUUGUUAAGGAACUCGGCAAAAUUACCUCGUAACUUCGGGAGAAGGGGUGCCUAUAGAGAUAUAGGUCGCAGAGAAUAGGCCCAAGCGACUGUUUAACAAAAACACAGGUCUGUGCUAAAUCGAGAGAUGAAGUAUACGGGCUGACGCCUGCCCGGUGCUGGAAGGUUAAGGGAAUGAGUCAGGAGCAAUCCGAAGCUUUGAACUGAAGCCCCAGUAAACGGCGGCCGUAACUAUAACGGUCCUAAGGUAGCGAAAUUCCUUGUCGGGUAAGUUCCGACCUGCACGAAUGGCGUAACGAUUUGGGCGCUGUCUCAACAGUGGACUCGGCGAAAUUGUAGUAUGCGUGAAGAUGCGCAUUACCCGCGACUGGACGGAAAGACCCCGUAGAGCUUUACUGUAGCCUGAUAUUGGAUUUUGGUAAUGAAUGUACAGGAUAGGUGGGAGACUGAGAGACAAGGACGUCAGUUUUUGUGGAGUCGACGUUGGGAUACCACUCUUUCAUUACUGAAAUUCUAACCUGUAGCCGUAAACCGGUAUGGGGACAGUGUCAGGUGGGCAGUUUGACUGGGGCGGUCGCCUCCGAAAGAGUAACGGAGGCGCCCAAAGGUUCCCUCAGAAUGGUUGGGAAUCAUUCAAAGAGUGUAAAGGCAAAAGGGAGCUUGACUGCGAGACUGACAGGUCGAGCAGGUACGAAAGUAGGGCUUAGUGAUCCGGUGGUAGAGAGUGGAAUUGCCAUCGCUUAACGGAUAAAAGUUACCUCGGGGAUAACAGGCUGAUCUCCCCCAAGAGUUCACAU
rnacentral:rRNA from 1 species